rnacentral:rRNA from 1 species
AGUGAACGCUGGCUGCGUGCCUAAUCCAUGCAAGUCGAACGGAUUGGCGCACGGUUGAGUAAUGUAUAUCUAAUCUUCCCUACACUAGAUGACAACAGUUGGCAACGACUGCUGAUACUCUAUAGUGUAGGAUGAGGCUAUAUUGUAUCAGCUAGUUGGUGAGGUAAUGGCUCACCAAGGCUAUGACGCCUAACUGGUCUGAGAGGAUGAUCAGUCAAACUGGAACUGAGACACGGUCCAGACUCCUACGGGAGGCAGCAGUAGGGAAUAUUGCUCAAUGGGGGAAACCCUGAAGCAGAAACGCCGAGUGGAGGAUGACACGUUUAGGAGCGUAAACUCCUUUUGUUAGGGAAGCGGUACCUAACGAAUAAGCACCGGCUAACUCCGUGCCAGCAGCCGCGGUAAUUC